rnacentral:rRNA from 1 species
CCCGCGUAAUUUAAGCAUAUUAAUAAGCGGAGGAAAAGAAACUAACAAGGAUUCCUUUGGUAGCUGCGAGCGACCUAGGAACAGCUCAGCAUAAAAUCUCAUAAUCUAACCGGUUAUUGAGAAAUGUUAUGUUUAGGAAGUUUCGUUUAUCCUAUAAUGUACACUUGGUCCAAGUCCACCUUGAAUGGGGCAUUAUCCAUAGAGGGUGCCAGCCCCGUAGUGACAAGUGUCGAUAAAUUAUUAUAGGUGAAACUUUCCUUAGAGUCGGGUUGCUUGCAAAUGCAGCUCUAAGUUGGUGGUAAACUCCAUCUAAAGCUAAAUAUAACCACGAGACCGAUAGCGAACAAGUACCAUGAGGGAAAGUUGAAAAGAACUUUGAAGAGAGAGUUCAAUAGUACGUGAAACCGUUUAGAGGUAAACGGGAGAAAUCCGAAAAUCUGAAGGAAGUGAUUCACGUAAUAUCUACAUUAUAUAUUAUAUAUUAAUGAUGAUUUUUAAACUCCUCUUGUGCAAUUUUAUUGUACUAUCGAGGAUUCCGUUUAAUAUCACAUUUUGUAUAAAUAAUCAAUGAAUAUAAUGUGGUUUACCGCAUUUCAAACCUUCCUUAAAACAAGAAAAUGUCGCAACCC